CCUACGGGAGGCAGCAGUGGGGAAUAUUGCACAAUGGGGGAAACCCUGAUGCAGCAACGCCGCGUGAAGGAAGACGGUUUUCGGAUUGUAAACUUCUGUUCUUAGUGAAGAAUAAUGACGGUAGCUAAGGAGCAAGCCACGGCUAACUACGUGCCAGCAGCCGCGGUAAUACGUAGGUGGCAAGCGUUGUCCGGAAUUACUGGGUGUAAAGGGAGCGCAGGCGGGAAGCCAAGUCAGCUGUGAAAACUACGGGCUUAACUUGUAGACUGCAGUUGAAACUGGUAGUCUCGAGUUGGAGAGAAGUAUGCGGAAUGCGCGGUGUAGCGGUGAAAUGCAUAGAUAUCGCGCAGAACUCCGAUUGCGAAGGCAGCAUGCCGGCUCCACACUGACGCUGAGGCACGAAAGCGUGGGUAUCGAACAGGAUUAGAUACCCUAGUAGUC
rnacentral:rRNA from 1 species